rnacentral:rRNA from 1 species
UACACUCCUGCGGGAGGCAGCAGUGGGGAAUUUUGGACAAUGGGCGAAAGCCUGAUCCAGCAAUGCCGCGUGAGUGAAGAAGGCCUUCGGGUUGUAAAGCUCUUUUGUCAGGGAAGAAACGGUGAGAGCUAAUAUCUCUUGCUAAUGACGGUACCUGAAGAAUAAGCACCGGCUAACUACGUGCCAGCAGCCGCGGUAAUACGUAGGGUGCAAGCGUUAAUCGGAAUUACUGGGCGUAAAGCGUGCGCAGGCGGUUUUGUAAGUCUGAUGUGAAAUCCCCGGGCUCAACCUGGGAAUUGCAUUGGAGACUGCAAGGCUAGAAUCUGGCAGAGGGGGGUAGAAUUCCACGUGUAGCAGUGAAAUGCGUAGAUAUGUGGAGGAACACCGAUGGCGAAGGCAGCCCCCUGGGUCAAGAUUGACGCUCAUGCACGAAAGCGUGGGGAGCAAACAGGAUUAGAUACCCGGGUAGUCCCA